rnacentral:rRNA from 1 species
GACGAAGGAUGCAAGCGUUAUCCGGAUUCAUUGGGUUUAAAGGGUGCGUAGGCGGACUUGUAAGUCAGUGGUGAAAUCUCUUUGCUUAACAAAGAAACUGCCAUUGAUACUGCUAGUCUAGAGUAUAGAUGACGUUGGCGGAAUAUGACAUGUAGUGGUGAAAUACUUAGAUAUGUCAUAGAACACCGAUUGCGAAGGCAGCUAACGAAACUAUAACUGACGCUGAGGCACGAAAGUGCGGGGAUCAAACAGG